CCUUAAUGUUUGGAUUUUGUUCUUUUAGAAAUCGACCUGCUCCAGAAAGGGUUCCACCAGUUCCAAUUGCUGAAACUAAAAUAUCUACUUUACCUCUUGUAUCUUCCCAUAUCUCUGGCCCAGUAUUCUCAUAGUGUACUUUAGGAUUGGAUGGAUUAUCAAAUUGUUGAAGCAUGAAUGCAUUAGGUGUAUUUUUUACAAUUUCUUCGGCUUUUCGAACUGCUCCGGUCAUAGCUUUGGAAUAUUCAGUCAAAACAAGUUCAGCUCCAAAUGCUCUCAUAAGAAUUCUUCUUUCUAAACUCAUUGAAACAGGCAUUGUCAAGAUGAGUUUAUAUCCUUUAGUAGCUGCUAUAUAGGCAAGACCAAUUCCGGUAUUUCCACCGGUAGGUUCCACCAAAAUACUCUGAAUUAAAUGCAUACAAAAAACAAGUUAAUAAUUAAGAAUGACAAAAACAAAAGGGAUUAAAGCAACAUUUUAUUGAAGGUUGAUUCACUUCAACCAAUUUAUACUAUGUCGAUGCAACCAAAAUAAGCACAAAUAUCCAUAAUAAUAUUCAGGACCAGUUCAACUUAUGAAAUCUAAAACAAAAAUUAAAUUGAGAUAUCAGCUUAGCUAAAAGUUUAUAUAAUAAUAUUUUAUAAUAUAAAAAAAUAAAAAUAUAUCAAUUAUUCAAAUAUAUUAAAAUAAAAAUAUAAUAAAAAAUAUUAUUGAAAUAUUUGAGAGAUCAGAUUAGCUAAAAGCUGAUAUAUUUUUCUUUUCUAUAUUGUUUUGUUUAUGUAUUUUUUUUUAAAAUAAUUAAUGAAUGUUAAAAUUAUUUUGGUGUUAUGAGAAUAUAUAUCAUUUGUAAAAUGUUUUACCUUUCCUGGUGUUAUGAGUCCUUUCCUCUCAGCAUCAAGUAUCAUGCUAUAACCGAUCCUGCAAAAAAUACAAAUGAUAAACAAUAAAAUAACAGAGACAGAUUGAACCUCUUAUUUGCAAAUUUAAUGUGAACAUCUUCGACUCGAGGAAUUUGUCUAUGUAAUUGCCUGUCUUUGACACUACAGCAGGGUUCCAUAAGCUCAAGUUUUGCAGCAAUAGUAGCAACGCAACCCUUGGUAACACUCUUCAAGUAAACCAUUGGCGUUUUUCCUAUGAGCUGUGUCAUGGAAGCAGCAACAAAUGAACAAGAUUCAUCUUUAAACUGUGUGCUUAUUGAAACAAACGAAAAACAAAAAUAUAUGAAACCGACCUCUGUAAUGUCCCCAGCAAUAUUGAGACUGUCGAGGUUGGUUUGCGGUUGGACAUUAGGGGUGGAGGACGAAUAGAUCCUGGGGAAGAUGGAACGGUGGCCGAUACCGAAUCGUGGUGAUAUGGGAGCACGAAUCAACGACUUGAGUAAGGAAGUAGAAGCCAUUGGUGCUUGUGGAGAAAGCUUUGAUGGCAGAAUCUUAUAAAUAAAUAGAUAUGCUAGUUAGGGAGUGCACGAGAUCGCAUAUUUUAUGUGUUUUUUGUUUUGUUUUGUUUGUUUGAUAUAAAAUAAAGCUAAAGAUAAAUUAAAAUAAUCAACACUGCAACACUGAAAUAUAAUAUUUCAAUCCACUCAAUAAUUGAAAUAUUAUUGUCUAUCACUUUCUGCUCUCACCCCAAUGGGACGUAUCCCUCCAAUCUUGCAUAUCCUCGCCAUACUUUACAACUAAUUUGCUUUGGUUAUUUCGAUGCCUUUGGAUAUAACUUCCUUCAAGGUAAGAGAGAUACAUCAAAUACUCCCGAGGUUCCAUAAUAAUUGACUCCGUUGAUGAUUUUACAUCGAUUAAAAAAAGAAAGAAAUAAAAAAAAAAAGAAUGAUAUUUUUACUAAAAUAUUCAUAUUAUGUAUUGGGAAUGAUGAAUAAUAGGGAUUAUCCUUAUGGCAUGCCAACGUCGAUGAUGGUUGACCUACAUACUAACAUGUCAACUUUUAGUGAUAAUGCAAUGGCAAUUGUGUCGUCGUAUAACUCACAAAACAUUUAUGCGUCGACCAUCAAUAAUAUGGUUCAACCGGGAAGGAUAAGUUAUAUCCCUCAAACAUCGCCAUCGUUGAAUACCACUUCCAUGAUGCCUAUGAGACAACAAAUGGACGAGAGUAACCUAUAGUUGGUUAACACUCUCACCUAACAAAUGGGGACCAAUUUCAACCCCUUGAUUACAAAUAUGAACCAAAAGUAUGAACUAUUGACAAACUAAAUGGGACGAAUAAUCGAUUUUUUGGUACGUCCCAAAUUCCACCUCGACCAACCCCUAAGAUAUCAAAUGUUGGGUAGGUAGAAGCCCCUUAGAAUGGGAUGGUCCAGGCAAAUGUAGGCAAAAAUCAAGGAUUUCGACCAGAACCAGUCCCAAAUAGGGAAGAAGAAUACAUAGGUCAACGCAAUCCCAAACCUCUGAUGGUUCAGAGAAACCAAGAUGUUGAUCAGGUUCUUAGAAAUGUCCAACAAAAUAACUUUUGUGGACAUAAUAACAUAGUCAAUAUGGUCGAACAGAUCUUGGCCCAAAACGGCCUUAAUGUGGGACUCCACAUGCAAACUUCAUUUCCUCAUUAUCAAGAUAUGUUUGAUGAACAGAGUUACCAGGGGUUGGAAAAUCCUCAAAUUCGCUAAGUUUGUUGGCGACACUAGUGAGUCGACUGUCGAACAUGUCGCUAGGUACCGAAUUGAAGUUGGUACAUUGUGAACAAUGAAAAUUUGAAAAUAAAGUAUUUUUCAAAUUCUCUUACAAAGAACGUCUUCACUUAGUUCACCACACUUCCUCCACACUAUGUUCAAACAUGGAGUCAGUUGGAGAGAUUGUUCCAUGAACAUUUUUACAUGGGUCAGUCGAAAAUAAAUUUUAAGGAGUUGGUUAGUGUUAGGCGAAAAGUUCCGAAAUAGAUUGAUGAUUAUCUAAACAUGUUAAAACGGCUUAAAGCAAGAUGCGGUGGAGUAGAUUAUUCCAUUAGGAAGAAGUUAGAUACCGAUUACCUUAGGGACAUGGCAUAAUUGACAGAUAGGGUUCGUCAGGUCAAAUGCUUGAAAGUUGAAAAAACCAUAAAUAAUAAGUAUCAUAAAAAGAGAAAGUUGCUUAUGUAGAGACAGACGAUUACCCGUCAGACAUAGGCAUCGAAGGUGUCGGAGAGAGUGAGGUAAACGUGGGUGAACUUAAGCCAGGACCUCCCUAUGUAUGUAAGUUGUUGAAGCCAUUGAACGAGAAAAAUCCUUUCGAGCCUAACAAGAAUUAUACAUUUGUCUAAAACUUAUACUUUCGAUAUAACAAAGUACGACGAAAUAUUUGAUUUGUUAGUCACAGAUGGACAAAUUAUAGUGCCUCAGGGCCUAAAAACUCCACAAUUAGAACUAAGGAAAAUAAAGGUUUUUGUAAGUACCAUAAUUUCUUGGAUCAUAAGACUUCUCAAUGUGUUCUUUUCAAGGAUUUGGUGCAAAAAGCUUUGAAAGAGGGCAGACUCCAAUUUGGCGAGAAGUCAAACACAUCGAUGAAGGUGGAUUCUAACCCAAUACAUACUAAUGAUGCUCACUAUGCUAAGCAUGUGGAGAUCUUAAUGGUCGAAGAUACUGAAGGCUUCAACAUGAAGGUCGACAAAGGUGAGGAAAUCUUUGUCGUUGUUGAUGCUGACAUACAAUGUGUAUACCCCAAAGCUUAGUAAAAAUGGAUAAAUUUUCUAGAGCGCUGCAAGCUAAAUGACUCUAACUGUCUUUGAUGAAAAGGCGAUGAAGAAACUGGAAAACACAAAGAGGUAUGAUCCUAGAAGAAGUAGAGUAGGAAACUAGAUUGUCAGGUUCGCCUCAAACAAUAGAGGUGUCCCUUGCAAGAAUGAGGAAUAUAGGAGGCAGUUCAGACAACCUCGUUAGAGAACUUUUUGUCCAUCGGUGAAUGUACCUAAGGAGAAGUUGGUGAAACCCCUGAAUCAGAAGGGAGAAAACUAACCCAGAUUUAAGGAGAUCAACCCCAAUGUAGGGGUACCAGAUAAAAAGAACCAGAAAGUGUCUAAGGUAAAAUCACACAUUCCCCUGACCUACAAAGGAAACAACCCGAUGACCAGCACUCAGUGGAGGCGUCACCAUAGGAAAAAGAAGGCUGGGAGGGAAGCCUUUGCAAACAAGAACGAAGCCCAUGAGACGAAGCGUACCAUGGUUGUGUCGAAGGCUCAGACAAAUCCUUACUCAAAGAAACUGAGCAAGGAAGACAAAAGGAUAGCCAACUAAAGGUUGCUUAUGAGGGUGGCGCGUCAGGCCAAAGAUGGCUCCACGUCGACGGCAAAAAUGCCUGAAUACACACCUCAAUCAGAGAACAUGGCCCCAUAUACACUCCUUAGCCUGAGGAGGAAGUUCUCGAAAAUACGCCUCAACCUGAGGAUAAGGAUCUAAAGUAUACACCUCAGUCAGACGAUGAAAUGGUCGAAGACAACUUCGACAUGGAAUAUGAGAAUGACUUACAAAUCAACUGCGACCUAGUCUCUGUGUUGUCUGCUGAAUAUGAUAGGGUUUCAGAGGUUUAUGAGGUUGAGGAAGACUAUGUGCAUGAUAAGGAUGUGAAUCAAGAGCAUCUGUUACUAUGUCAUGAACAACAAUGUCGUUGAAGAGCAAUAAGCCAUCUUCGAAGUCUUUGAGAUGCAUUUUCAAAGUAUAUCAACGACAUUAAUGUUUAGUCCAAAUAAGUGCGAGAUGCAUUUUCAAAGUCUAUGAGAAUAGAUUGUUGGAUUCAUUUGGUUUUAAAUCAUUUGAUAGAUGCAAGUCUUAAUUUUGGAAGAUAUAUCUAAUGCCUCAAAUCAUCGACUAAAGUGAAAGGACAUGAUAUAUCUUGAUUAUAUACAUAUGAUGUAUAUGGACCUCAAAACAUAUGUGCUAGAUGAGUUUUGUUUCUCUUACUUGAUUUAUAUUACUGAAAAACUCGGUAAUUAUGGCUUUAUGUAUGUGACACGAGUUAGAAUUAUUUUGAGAAGAGUUCAAGAAUGAAGUAGAAGGAAACAACUGGAAAAAGUAUUAAGACCAUAAGAAUUAUUCGUUGUGGUAAAUACUUAUAUAAAGAAUAUAAUGACCAUUGAAAUCGUAUCACAUCUAACAUUGUUCGAUCUAAUAUUGCUCAAUUAUAUCUUUGUGACUCUUUUUUUUAUAAAUUAUUUUACAUAGAAUUAUUCAUAUCCAUAACCAAUAUCAUUUAAAGUAGUCGUAGAGACACCAUAUUUGAUAUGAAGGUAAGAGUGCCCGAUUUGUCUUUAUGAUCAUUUGCUUGUAAGGUUUAUUAAGUAAAUUUGACCACAAUCUAGAUGAAGAUGUAUGGAUGGAUGUAUCCUAAAAAAUAUUGGGGACACAUGUUGUAUAACACUUCAUAGGAAAAAAUUGUUUUGUCGCUAGAACUGGAGUAUUCAUUUAGAGAUAUUAUGUAUCUAAAGGAGUCAGUGAGAGUGAUAUAAGACUUGAAGAAAUUUAAGCACUAGAAUGGAACAUGAACCAAUUCAACAAGGGAGUUAUUGGUGUAACAUUGGUUCAUGUAGCAUGAGAUUUAGAGAAGAUCAUAAAUGAUCUCGAUUCUAAAAGGUGUAUAAGUUGUCUAAAUCCAUUUAUGGGUUAGAUAAAUCAUUUUUUAGAUGAAUCCUUUUAUUAAAGAAGUUUUAUGAAAACUUGUAUUAAUAAACGUCAAGUUUAAAUCUUGUGCACACAAAAGGUUAGUGGGAAUCUUUGCAUUAAUCUAGUAUAGUAUAUAGGUGACAAACUAACCAUCAAAAACAAAUUCCCUACAACAUCAAUGUAAGACAUGGUUAAAGAAAUGGUUUUGAUGAAAUGCCUAGACGAGGUUUUCUAAAAGGUCAGGAAUCAUAAUUUAUAGAGAUAUAUGGUUGAUGAAUUCCCUAGCACAAGUACAUAUUUCAACAAAGUGUUGAAACACCUAAUAUGCAUAAUCUCACAUUAAGAUUAUUACAUGUUAUUGUACCCCAAAAUUUGCCCUCCUCUUUUCCUAACUAUUCAUCCAACCACUUGAUCAGGAGAUCACUUGCAUACAUUCAUAAUUCAUCCACAUGCAUCAUUCAUCAUGGAUUCAAAAACUUGGGCUUGUGAAGCUAGGGUUUGUGUGGAUAUCAAGGCUCAAUUCAUCCAACCACUUGAUCAGGAGAUCACUUGCAUACAUUCAUAAUUCAUCCACAUGCAUCAUUCAUCAUGGAUUCAAAAACUUGGGCUUGUGAAGCUAGGGUUUGUGUGGAUAUCAAGGCUCAAAAGAAUGGUCUAACCAUGUCAUCAAGCAUAGAGAUGUAGAGCCCUAAUUGUGAUGGUAAAGGCUUGAAUUCAACCAAGAUUUGGCCAGGCAGUCUUCUGGGGUCUUCAAAACCCUAAUUCCUCAAGGCAUGAUCUCAUAGAGCUUCCCUAGGCCUUAUCUUGGCCUUCAAAACCCUAAUGCAGGUUCACACACUAGAAGACUGAUGGUGAGAGCAUAUGGCUUGAUUCAAGAAACUUGAUUGAGGGGUAAGCCUCAGGGAAACCCUAAUCAGGGAGGUGGUAAAUCAGAUGGACUUGGUGGCCUGACUGUGCAUCCAUGACCCUCAAUCUUCACCUAUUAUCAAUAUACUUGGUUCAACCCUACCUUGGUCUUCUAUGGGUAUUGGUCUUAGUCUCAAGGUCAUGGUGUUGUUCAUGUGACUAUUGGUACACAUAUGGUCUUGGUCAUCCAAACAACCAAAUUUCUUGUGUCACAAGCCAAUUGCUAAUCAUGCUCAUUGAUUCAUGGAUAUCUCAUUCAAACCCUAAUCAUAUGCCCUCAUUUAUGGCCUUGUUAACAUAUAUUACCAGUCAAGUCAUUUCCUUUUCAAAGUCAAGCAUUCAAGUCAUAAAUAAACCAAUUGUAAAGCCAAUUUCAAACCAUUUUUCAAUCCAUUUCAUAUCACUGUAAACCAUUACAUUUGAUUCUACAUAAGAAAAUACAAGUCUUGACAUUUUUGACCAAUUGUUAACUUUGGUCAACAAUUGAAUUUUUGGUCAACUUUGACCAAAGUCAACCCAAAAUCCAAAAACCCAAAAUUUAACCCUAACCAAUCAUUCAUUGUCCAUUUACAAAGGAAAUACGAAGAAAAUACAAUUUUGCCCAUUUGUUGACUUUGGUCAACAAUUGACUUUUUGGUCAACUUUGACCAAAGUCAACACUCACUUUCCCUUGAUCAUCCAAACUUUGUCUAGCCUUUUUCUAUGAUGAGCCGUCCAAUCUUCAUAUUUGUUGGUGGUUUUUCUCUUGAUUUGCUUCCAUUACAAGUAAGUAGCAUUGUGCACAAACCAUGUCAUUUUGGCAUCUUGGAACCAAUAACCAUUUGCCUUGGGUUAUCCCUAAUCAAUUUCCAAAGAGGUCUAACACAACCAAACCAUUGUUCAUUGCUUAUAACUCUUGGCUUUAACCUAAAACGAUACACCAAACCAUGGAAAUGCACGGUUUAACCAAGGGAGAAGCAUUACUAGUCCUGCUACUGCAGCACCCCUUUCUGCAUCCUGCUGGACACACCCUUGCUUUGCCUGCAGUAGAACCAUAACAAUUACAUGACCAUCAUAACAUGCUCACACAUACAUUGGGUUUGGGACUGGUGAUGAUGGCUCAUGAAAGUUGCAGCAUAAAAACCUAUCCUGCAGAAACAACCACAAACUCAACAAUGACAUGUCAAAAAUCACCAAGAAACAUCAUGAAAACACACCAACCAAUUCACAAGCCAACCUGUAAUGCAACAGUUACAGCUAAAGCAUCAAUGCACCAUGACAUUAUGAAGCCUUACAAAACCAAUUCAGAUGUGCUACAAAAUAUGAAAACCAUGAUCCUCAUACCUGUUGCAAAUCCACAAGAGCCUAUUGCUAUAACAACCUUGCCACAUGAUGCACUCUUGCCAUCAUCAAUAAAUACCAAGACCAAAACAACCUGCAAGGUGAAUCUGCAACAUAUCUACCUGAAUCAUGGCACAAACCCAAAAUCAUAACAGGAAAUUAACCUAUUUGCAAUAUGGAGCAACGAAAGACCUGAUGAUGCAAACAGACCAUCCUAUAGACUUACAACAUCUUUAAGCUCCAAGAACCUGCAUCAGUAUUUGGACAUGUCAAGUGGAAGAGCCACCAUGAAACUAUUAAAAUACAAGGGUAAGUUAUGGUCCUGGACCAUCUCAUUCAUUCAACCAGUUUGGGCCAUAAGAACAUGUCAUGCUAUCAAGUUGCAAGACCAAGUCAAGACUUCAGUGAGCAGUGCAUAAUUCAAGGCAUACUAGUCAAGCAAAUCCUGGUAACAUUCAAAGUUGACAUAAUGAAAAUUGUGAAGAACCAUUGUGACCCUUGCAGCAGUUCAUGCACAUAACAUCCUAUUCAAACCAGUUGACAUCAUGGCAUAGCAAACAUCACGACACUGUAAACAUACCUCAAGGUCUUGGCCCUGUGCAACAUCACUUCAAGCUGCAACAAUCCAAUUGUAAUGGCUAUCCUUGAAUCAUGAAUUUGGAAGAAAAAUGCAAUGGUGAUUGUGUCCUGCAGAGGCCAAAACCAACAUGAGCUUUGCACAUAAAAAAACGAUACUUAGCUACUGAAUUGAAAAAGGAACUUACACAGCAUGCAAGGACAAGGACGUAGCAGCAUUGCAUCUUCAUCACAGUGGGAUGCACACCUCACAGCAUAACAUUUUCCAAGCUAGCUACCAUGGCUAACCCUGGUUUGGACAUGAUAGGCCAAGUUCAUGCUGCAACAAGUGAAGGCAAGGAAUUGAGUGCAAGCAGUGAAAAUUAAACUGAUGAAGCAUUUAACCAAAGCACACUUGCAUUUAACAGUUACCAGUCACUUAAUCCUAAUUCUAAUGUUACCUGCUACAACCAGUCUAUGCAUCAAAGCCAUUAACAUUCACAUACCAAAUCCAUUCAUCAUUCCAAACCAACCCGAAGUUACUUAAGUUUAACCUGCAACAUGAACAACAGGUCAUUAAAAACCAUUCCAAUAUAACCUCAAUCUAAUCCUAACCUGCAACAGCCAGUCAAGUUUCAUUUCACUCAUUCAUUAGUCAACUCAAACUAACAUAACUAACUGAGUUUCCCAUUCAUUAACCAACUGAGUUUUCAGUUAACUCAGUGAGUCAGGUCUAACUAACUCCUAACCAUAUUUAACUAACUCCUAACCACAUUCUAAAGCUAACAAGUUCCAAGCCUAGCCUUUAUUUAAGAAACUCAUCACUCACGUUUUCAGAACCCUUGGAACUUUGCUUGAACCUGUGCACUCUCUCUAUUGCAACUUCCCUCACCUUACUCAAAGCUCUAUUUUCUCCUAGAAGCCAUUGAAGCUUCACAUCGAAGCUUCAAUUUCGCUUGAGCUAAGCCACUGGACCCUUACUUUCAUUGUUCUCAAACUCAGAAGAAGAAGAAGGAGACAAAAUAAUAAUAAGAAGAAAGAACCAAGCUCAGGAAACUUACUGGUGGAUUUUCCGAUCAUCUUCUCUGGUAUGUCAUUUCCUAUUCCGUGGAUUUUUCUUGCUUUGAGCACACCAGCGUGUAGCAUCUGAGGUAGGAAAUAGAAGCCCCAUAGUAUUAGGGAUUGAUUUGCACCAAACACCAUUUAAUUUGACUUGUAGAUAGCUAGGGUUCUUCCGUUUAGCUGUUCGAUUAAACCGGUACAGGAAUUGUUUCAUAAUUCCAUUUCCAUAUUCAUACUUAGCUUGAUGAUUCGCAUCCAAUGGCAGUGGUGGUUAGGUAUAAUCCAACACCGGGGGCGGGGAUGGACGCCGGCACGGUGAGCCUCGGUGAACCAUAGUGAACGGAGGGGAAGUUAAGCGCACAAUGAAGAGUUUGAAUUCUGUUGACUUGGACAAGUCAACAGAGAGAUAUUUGGGCUGAGCCUCUUAAGGCCCACUGAGAUUACUUGUCAUACACCCUCAUUACCAAUACACCUCCCAAGGACUUUGAAGAGAAGUAGAAUUGGGCUUAGUCAAGCCCAUUAACCUUUUUGCUAAUUCCCCACAUGUUUCCAGCGUGCACCCCCCUGGAAAUGUUUGUUUUGGCAUUGGGCUCAGACGUAGCCCAUGCCUGUUUUUGCUCAUACGCCACCCAUGUUUUUGGCUUUUGCUUUCUGUGCAAAAAAAAAACAGUAAUGGGCUCAUCCUGCAGCCCACUAACCAGAAUUCAGUUCAUACCUCCCUUUCCAUUUCACACCUCUUGAUUCAAUUUUUUUCUUUUAUUUUCUUAAUUGUUUUUUACAAUUUAAUUAGGUUAAUUAGCACAAUAUUAGUGUAAUUAGGUUAGUAAUUGACCAUUAGAAUUUAAAUCUUGAUCAUUAGUAUAUUAGAAUUAGAAUUUUCAUUAGAAUUUAAUUAGGAUUUUUUCCUUAGAAUUUUAGUUAGGAAUUUUGAUUAGGUUUAAUUAGAAACAAUUAGGCUUUGAUUAAAUGUAGAAUUACCCCAUUCUCAACCUUAGGUUAGGAUCAACAUUAGGAUAUCAUCAAUUUUAGACCAUAGAAUUUGAUAUAUUUUGUAAAUGAACAUUUUGCCCCUAUGGGCUUAUUUUUGUUAUUUUAGUGAUAGAAUGACAUGAUCCCAUUAGGAUUUGAAUAUGACAUAGGACUUUAAUCAUUUCCAACAAUUAUAGAACUUAUACAUAGGGUUUUAAUCAUGAUUUUGACCAAUAUGCACAUGCUCCCUUAGGACUUAUAACAUAGAAUUUUCAAUCAACUUUUGAUAAAUCAAUGCAUGAUCCCUUAGGAUAGUUUCUAACAAUUACUAACUUUGAUUAGAUGCAAACCUAGUUCCCUAAACCAAAACAAAACCCAUGGUUAAAUUGAUCAAAAUCCAUUUUGAUUAAUUAAAUCCUUUGAACUUUUAUAAUCCCACAGUCUAAAUUGAGUGGCCAAAAGACCCUUGGUCACUUGAUAAAACUUUUCUUCCAAGCUGUGGAGCUCAAGGCCUCAAGACAAGAUCUUCAAUCAAGGCAUCCUCAGUCAUACCAAGCAACGGAUUAUUCAAGCAUAUAAAAGGUGGCAUCUUCGAGAACUUGUUAAAUCAAAGUUAAAAAAGUGUGGCACGAGCCUUAAGCAAUAGAGAAGGAGUGGGACUGGAGUAUUCCUACCCCCAUUCUGAGUAUCUUUGGGUAUGGGAAGUAAGACCCAACGCUCAUCAUAUUCACCUCUAUUCAUAUACUUUAUCAUAAUUCUAAUCACAAGAUUGACAAGUCUCUCUCUUCACAAAGCAAAAAUAACAAAAGCAAGGACUACAUUAACAACUUAUCAAUCAUGAAUCAAGUUAUACGAUACGAGCCUUAAGUAAUGGAGAAGAAGUGGGACUUGAGUAUUCUUACCCCCAUUCUGAGUAUCUUUGGGCACGGGACAUAUGACCCAACGCUCAUCGUAUUCACCUAUAUUCAUAUACUUUAGUGGAAUUCGAAUCGAACGAUUGAUAAGGUCUUCAUCAUAAACACAAGAAACAACAAAAAAGACUCAUCUCUCUCCAUUUGAAGUUUAAGACAAGAGUCACAUGCCACGAGCCUUAAGUGGUAAAGAAGGAAUGAGACUGGAGCAUUCCUACACUCAUUCUGGAUAUCUUUGGGUGCGAGACGUUUGACUCGUUGCUUAUCGUAUCCACCUUUACCCAUAGAAUUUAGUGUGAUUCUCAUCCAGUAACUAUCAAGUCUCUCAAUUCCAUUCAAUCAUUUCAAUUCAAUCAUCUCUUCUUGCCUCCAAUCAUCUUAUUUUCAGCCCUAGUAGGCUGAACUACGAAAGCUCUGAUUUCCUUAUUGUACUAUAAGGGUACGUAGGUAGGAUAACCCGAUUUCUUUGCGAGCGAUAUCUUAUCUAUAUCUUAUUUAUCGAUAAAUCAUCCUUCAUUCAUUCAAUAUAUACCAUCUUUUUGAGAUCAACUAUACUUCUCUUUGGAUUCCUUGUCCAUCCUUUUAAGACGAUAACGACAGUCCGCCUCAUCAAUCAAGAGUUGUUUGGCCCGUAACCUAAACAAUUAGUUCAUUCUUUUUUGGCUAAGACGCCACUUUGCUCUUCGAUUAAGAGUCUAUCACUCCCUUGGAUCUAAGAUAAUAUCCUUAUUUGACCUUGAAUUGUUGAUUCCCCAGCAAGUGACACACUACUCCUUGCACUCCAGUACUUCAACCCUUCCUUGAAGAUGUGUUUGUCUUGUGAGUCCCUGUUGCUUAGAAAAACCUCUCUCUCUCUCUCUAUUCUCGUAGUUCCGAACUACGAUUGCUCUAACUUUCUCAUUGCACGAUGAGAAUACGUAGGCACGAGGAUGCGAAUCCUUGGCGAGCAUACUUCUAAUUAUUCCUCCUUCGCCUUAGGGCAUCAUCCAUAUUUUUCACUAUUUAUUACCUACCUGCGAUAAUAAAUCGUUCACCUAGUGACAUACUGUCUUUUUGACAUCGAGAUAUACUUCUUUUGGAAUUCCAUAUACACCCUUUUAGGACGUCUAACGAAUAGUCCAUAUUUUGUACCUAGAGUUAUUUGGCCCUUAACCUAAAUACUUAAUUCCUUCCUUUUAGCUAACACCCUGUAGCGGUUAAAGUU
rnacentral:lncRNA from 1 species